AUUGGCUCGUGUUACCUGAGAGAAGAGAAAGGUAGCAGCUCACGUUCUCGGUGUGUGUGUGUGUGUAUGAAAAAGAAAAACCGCCGUGAUAGAGAACUGCGCCAACCUAAUUUCCGCGUCAGGAGGAGAAUAAAACGACUCGAAGCACAUUACAUCUGUGACGCAGUAGUCAUUUCACAGGAUGGUACCAGGGGAUGCCGGUGCACCGUCUGCCAGUCUGCCUGACGGGAAUAACAGAUGAGAGAGGGAAAAGGGGAGGAGGAAGAAAAGAGGUAAUGCUCUGCUUGUAUACCACAAUGAAAGAACUUUCUCUACUCUCAUGGUAGCACGAUCAUCUGCACAGUCCAAACUAAACAUCCAGCUAACAACUAAAGAGCGUACUCUCAGUGUGCUGCUCUCAGCGUUCAGCUUUUGGCAUCAGUGGCAGGUGCUCAGUGCGGCAUGACAUGGAGGUAUUCAAGGGAAAUAGGCCUAAUUAUGUGUUUUGCAGGCUCAGCCAUAUGUAGAGAGAUAUGGCCGUUAGGUAAGUGAAAUUCAUAAUCGAUAUGAAAGGACAUCCAGGGCAUAGCAGGGUUUCCAUCCAGAUAUUUUUAUGUGAAGUUUGGGUUAUCACAUAAAAAGAUGGAUUAAAAAAAACAACAACAAAAAAAUGCACAUAAAAAAAAAAGGUCUUGUUUAAAAUGUUUUUUGUUUGUUUGUUUUAUUCCAGGUAAAAAUAUGCAAGCAUAAAUUACAAUGAAAAUACAUGAAUUCCUAGAUGAACAUCAACCUCAAUGUGUCAGUCAUGUGACUGAAUAAUUCACUCACAGAAGAAAAUGUCAUCAGAUCAAAUAUGGUAAAAAAUAUUUUCAUUGGGGUGGUGCCUUUUCAAACAAUAUACCUUUGUACUUAAAAGGUCCAUAUUGGUAACUUAAAGGUACAUAUUAGUACCUAAAAGGUACAAAAGAGUAUGUUUGGAAAGGUACCACUCAUAUUUACUUUUGUACCUUUUUUUCUGAGAAAGUGUAACAUCUCAAAAGUUUGCUCAUCAAAAUGAUUGGCAUGCGGUCACUAAAGAUAACCCAUUUGCUGCUUGAUAGUUACAAAGAUAACAAGUUUGUCAGAGCAUUUUGUCUGUGCUCUCUAAAGCACAAAGGAUUUACUAUGUUUAAAACAGUUGAGAAACAGUUGCUAUAACUCCCAUUUCUAUUUUGCGUUAAUUUUACCCUCAGUUGAAUCAUUUGUUUCUGCAUAAAUUAAAUUUGCAACUUAGAUGCAUAUACUAAAUUGGACAAAGUUCAGUCAAUCAGUUAAUCUUAUGUUUUGGAAAAAAGAUACAAUGAAACUAUACUAAAUGGUUUGUAUAAAUAAACUAUUCUAAUUGAUCACAAUAAAAAAAAAAAGAGUUAAUAAGUUGCUGUAACAACAUCGUUGCGCAAUCAUGAAUGCAAAUAGAGCUUUCUAAAAAUGAAAUUUCAUACAGAGAGCUGCCACGGCUCAUGAAUGGCCUUCGGCAUUGAGGGGGAAGUGAAGCAUUUCUCACAAAAUGUGCUGUGCUACCGACUGUUUUUUAUUUCCUAGGAAGAGAAGGAGGGGAGAAAAAGAGAGAGAAAUAAGACUUUUGGUUCUUUUACACUUCAAAUGAGUUCAGAUGCACACAUACACACACAGCUCAGCGAUAAGGGGGGCAAUCAAUCAUCAUCACAGUUGUUCAUUGAAAUAGCCAUCAAACAGUGCGUCAUCUUCAUGCUUCAUUUGGUCACUCCAUCCAAACACCCUCACCCUGCAACAUCACGUCACCCUCUCCCUCUCCUCUCUUGCAUACCCAGCUGGUUUCUCGUCAUGUUUGUUGCUGCUUGUGAUACUGAGGUAGUGGGUGGGCUUCCCUCCCUCUUUUUCUUUAAGCAGCACCCAUUACCAAUGCAGCACCAGUGACUCAGCCUGCUUUCUUCCAUCUUACACCUCACACACACACACACAAACAAACCAACUCAUACACAAACAACUCACUCGACACAUGCAAAGCACAUGCCCACAGUCGCCCUCUCUCCCACACACACAAAUACAUGCAAACGCAAUUAAAACCCACACACAGCCGCUGACCUCUCAAUCCCUUCAGAUCCCUCAAACGUAUAAAUAAAGGCACCAGAUAUGUCCAAACAAUUAGCGCUGUUGACUACUUACAUGCCUACAGUCAUAAUAAUGUUGCAGCUCACACAAACCCAACACUUAGUCAAACCUACUGAUGGGAUAACAAGUAGUCACGAUGUCAGUUCACGAGUGAGCCACCUCCUGUACAACACACACACACACACACACACACACACAAAUCAUUCAUAUGAUUGCUACAAACACAUCAUCCAAACAUCAGAUGUCCACCCAAAAGUAAGUGAACCCUUUGUCACAACAAUAGCCGAACGAUAGCCUGGUUAAAUGAAUAACACACAAACAGUAAUACAUUUUCAUGUCUUUAUUGAGUGUGAACAUUCGCAGUGAAAGGUGGAAAAGAUAUGGGAAUCUUUAAGCUAAGGAGUCUUCCAAAAGAUAAUUGGAGUCCAAUCAAUAAAAAACAUUUACAAGCGCAGUUAUAAUGAAGCGACAGCAGGUUAUUGCUUAGUCGAGAUACAGUUUUCAUUUGUGUGGCCAAGUAUACAUGACACACUGCAUAAUUUGAAAGAUGAAAUACAUUGCACAUUACCUCUGUCUAUUGUAGAAUAUUGUUACUACCAAACUCUCUUUUAGAUCCCAAAAGCAAACAACAAAUGGUGCUGUAUUACUGAAAAAUCAUGAUCUCAAUACCAGAAUCAUAAUUGGCCAGACUUGAUUAAUCUUUUCUGAAUUCUUAAAAUAUUAGUAUCCAAGACAUGGUGAACCCAGAGACUGCAGUGUACAUAGUGAAUGUUUAAAAAUUUAGCUUAAAGGUGUGCUAUACUGUAUAUAAAUAAUGGUCAUAAACGGCUGUUAGUAUGAGUUGACAAAGCUGACUACAGUUACGUCGUCUAGGUCUGUCAAUCAGAUAAUGUAAAAAGCAAACUGGUAAAAUUUAGAGCAGACCAAAGCAUUUCCUAAAACAGAGUAUGUAAAAAGUGCAUGUAAACACAUUUACUAAAAGGAAAUUUGAGAUGUUGGUCAAAGACAUACUGUACUAAAUUUUAAGUUUAAAUAAAACUUGCUAACAGAAGACCUCAAAUUAAGAUUAAGUGAAUAAUCGUAAGAAUAAAACCAAAAACUGUUGACUUGCAUAAAGUUAGAAAGGUUAAAAAUGGAACAAAUAUCUUUAAAGCUUUAAUGUUGAUCUGUCUAUAGAUGGAGAAUAUUCAGCACUGUUGCUACUCAUCCCAAGAGUGGGCGUCUUGCAAAGAUGACUGCAAGAGCACAGAUGCAAAAUACUCGAUGGUAUUAAGAAAAAUCAGAGUGUCAGCUAGAGACUUACUGUACAGUACAGAAGAAUCAGAAGCAUGCUAACAUCUCAGUUGAUGUUUCUAUGAUACUAUGAUAACUAAAUAAGAAUGGAGUUCACGAGAGGAUACCAUGGAGAAUGCUGCUGCUAUUCAAAAACAAAACAUUUAUGCACAUCUGAAGUUGCAAAAGAGCACCUGGAUGUUCCAUAGCGCUACUGGCAACAUUAUCUGUGGCCUGGAAAAAACAGGAGAAAAAUGGGCAAACAUAACAUCAAAACUUCAUCCCAGCGGCCAUCAUGGUUUGGAGCUGCUUUGGUGCCUCAGGGCUUGUAUAGCUUGCAGAAAAAUAAAUUCUCAACUUUUUUUAAGGACGUUUGCAGAGGAAUGUUAGCCCAUCUGUUUGCCAAUUGAAGCUCAACAGAAGUUGGAUGAUGCAACAGGAGUAAUCAACAACAGAAUGGCAUCAGCAGAAGAAAAUACGCCUUCUGAUGUGGCCCAUGAUCUCAAGAGAGCGCUUCACACCAGACAUCCGAAAAAUAUUGCUGAACUCAAACAGUUUUAUAAAGAGCACUGGUGAAAAUGUCCUUCUGACCGUUGUGCAGGUCCGAUCUGUAAUUACAGGAAACAUUUGCUGGAGGUUAUUGCUGCCAAACAAGGGUCAGCCAGUUAUUAAAUCCAAGAGUUCACAUACUUUUUCCACCCUGCACAGUUUAUGCUGUGUGUUUAAUAAAAGACACGAAAAAGCAUCAUUGCUUUUGUGUUAUUUAUUUAGCAGACUGUGUUUGUCUGUUGUGAAU